ACGUGCCAUACUGAGUUCAUGGUUGGAUUUUGAUGUUUCCAGGUUGCUUUAUGGAGGUCUCCACAAACUUGCCGUCAGAAGACAUUUUAAUGGUACUGUUGAAUCUGUUCCCACCAGAGCCCUCUCGUGGGCACGAUAUAUAUGUAAGUGAGGAAAACACAAACACCCUUGUCACUACUGGAGAGGAUGGCCUAAAAUUCUGGGAUUUAAGG